CUACGGGUUGCUCCAGUAAGGAAUAUUGCGCAAUGGAGGCAACUCUGACGCAGCCAUGCCGCGUGCAGGAAGAAGGCCUUAUGGGUCGUAAACUGCUUUUAUUUAGGAAUAAACCCCCGAACGUGUUCGGGGCUGAAGGUACUAAACGAAUAAGCACCGGCUAACUGCGUGCCAGCAGCCGCGGUAAUACGGAGGGUGCAAGCGUUAUCCGGAUUUAUUGGGUUUAAAGGGUGCGCAGGCGGGCUAUUAAGUCAGUGGUGAAAUCCCGGGGCUCAACUCCGGAACUGCCAUUGAUACUGAUAGUCUUGAGUUUGGUUGAAGUGGGAGGAAUGUAGCAUGUAGCGGUGAAAUGCAUAGAUAUGCUACAGAACACCAAUCGCGAAGGCAGCUCACUAAGCCAAAACUGACGCUCAUGCACGAAAGCGUGGGGAUCAAACAGGAUUAGAUACCCCCGUAGUC
rnacentral:rRNA from 1 species